AUGUCGCAGAAUCCUCCUGCUGGUGCCAUCCUCCUUAUGUCACGAGUGCUGGGCUGCCGGCUACUUCAACUGUCUUCAGUUCUGAAGAUUCUCAAUUAUGCCAGCAAUGAUGGAUGAAAGUGGAAAGGCAUGUUGCUUGCUCUGACAAUGACGGCAAAGUUGCGGCCCAUCAACUCAAGGAACUAGUCCUUCCUUUCCGUUGUGUCUGCACCCGCAAGGACGUAAGUCCAUGUAAUAUACUUUCCCAAUUGCAUAUACAUACAUACGUAUAUGAUUUCUCUAUCAUGUAUGUGUAACAUUUUUUUUUGGAAAUUUGAGAGGGAAUUUGCUGGGGAGGUAGAGAGUCUAAGAGCGAUAUUGGAUAUUGAGCAGCAGUUCUCGUGCAGAGCCGUACUUGACUCAUCUAGCACAGUGGCUUCUUGGUGUGGCAACAGACGAAAAAAGCUCUCUCCCUCUCUCUCUCAAUAUGGAAAUGUCCCUCUAAUAAAAUCGUAAUUGGGCCUAAUAAAAAUUCAAGAUCGAAAUUGGGCCUAGUAAAAAGCCCAAACUUUUCAUAAAUCCUAAUUGGGCCUAAUAUAAUUGGGAACUCAAACUUUCUAGAAAUUGUAAUUCGGCCUAAUCUCAAAUACGAUAUGAUUAUUGGACCAAAGAAAAAGUCCAAACAUUUCCGAAAAUCAUUAUUCGGCCAGUACCAAAAAUUGACAUUGGGACUAGGAAAAUGCCCAUAUUUUUUCAUAAUUUGUAACUGGGGCCUAAUAGAAAUGAUAAACUUUUACAUAAA